rnacentral:rRNA from 1 species
UACAGAGGUCUCAAGCGUUGUUCGGAUUCAUUGGGCGUAAAGGGUGCGUAGGCGGCGCGGUAAGUCGGGUGUGAAAUCUUGGAGCUUAACUCCGAAACUGCAUUCGAUACUGCCGUGCUUGAGGACUGGAGAGGAGACUGGAAUUUACGGUGUAGCGGUGAAAUGCGUAGAUAUCGUAAGGAAGACCAGUGGCGAAGGCGGUUCUCUGGACAGUACCUGACGCUGAGGCACGAAGGCCAGGGGAGCAAACGGG